rnacentral:lncRNA from 1 species
UACUAGACAACCUAUUUUACAUAUAACAAAAUUUUGGGAUACACAGCAAAUUAGUUAUCAUAACUUGCGAAGAAAUUCUCUACUAGGCAAGUGCGACAGCUGCUGCUUACUUGAUCAGAUAUUCCACUAUAAAUUUUUGCCUCUGUGCCUGAAAAACAGGUCAUUCCCUAAGUUUGCCAAUAAGAGUAUACAAGUAAAUAAGCUUGAUCAACUAAGAUGUAAAAACUACUUCAGUCAUCUUUUACUGUGAUUAAUUAGUCAAUCUGCUUGUCCAUCUUCCCAAGAUAUAUUUACAGCAUAUUAGGUGACAGCAUAUCAAAGUACAUAUUAUCAUGAGGAGUAAUAAUUUUAAUAGAUGGUUAUGACUACAUUUAAAUUAAACACACAACUAUUAAUUUUAAGACUUCAGAAAAUAAAAUAUAGUUUUUUUAACAACCCUAUUACCAGCUUUGAAACUUUACUGAAAAUCGGCAAUCCAUUUUCUGAACUCUGAAGUCCCACAGUUAACUGCAAGGGAUCAAAACUAGUUGUCAAUAAUGCCUAGAAUCACCAAGAGAGAAAUAAAUGUCCUAGAGAAACUUGAUUGCAUCAAGAUGGACAAAAGUGUAAAGCACAUUCAUCUCUUGGAAGAGGGGAGUGUAAUUUAAGCUUCUCUUAGUGGAUGGGAUUGUAAUCAGUUUUUCUCCAACUGCUUGUUUUCCCAUCACCGUCAUAGACUCAUAGCUCAAGUUGCUGGUUUAUUGAUCAAUUAAAGUUACUUCCUUUCUCAUUCAGGCUAGUUUUGUUAGUAGAAGCUCAUCACUGUUCCGGUGCUUAUCCGUGGUUGAGUGUGCAGUACUAUGGUUGAUUGGUUGCUUGUUCUAUGUGAAAAUGAGGUUUGUUGCUGUAUUUUGCUUGAUUAUCCAGUCUUCUCUGAAUGAUUCUAGCUUGCACUAUCAUAUUUUGUUGUCAUGGUUUGUUCUAUUAUGGUAUUAGUUGCACUAUCAUAGUUUGCUUAGAUUUUCUGAAUGUCUCUUCUACCACAUAUGAAGCAUAAGGUCAAGGUUACAUUACUCAUGAUCUUCAACAUGAGACUGAUGCAGACCAUAAUUGCUAGUUGAUAUCUAAGAAUUAUAAUCUUGUGAUAUAAACUAAAUCCAAAACCUAAGCAAAUAAAACCACAUUGCUCAUUGUUAUAUCCUCACCCAAUCUGAGGCAAUACAAUACACCCACCAUAAUUGAAGGAUAACCAACAGCAUUACCUCAAACGGAAGAUUAGUAAAAUCAGCGUUGAUGAGGAUCUGCACCGCCACGAUCCUUCAGAGUCUGUUGUUUCUGCUUCUCGACGAGCUUAUCGACAGCGGAUUGCACCGCCUCGUUGCCUCCGAUUAGCAAACGGGUCACCACUUCC